UUUUAUACAUUUCAUUUAUAUAUUUUACCGUAUAUUUAAUAUAUUUAAAUAAGAAUUUAUGAAUUUUGGAAAUAAAUAUAUAAUUAACAUAUAUUUAUUUAUUACAUAUUAAUAUUUUCAACGAUUUACGAAAUCGAAAAUGAUUUUAGAAUUUUAAGUAGAAAAGAAUUUGAAUUACGAAAAUUGAUUGAAUUUAGAAAACGAUCCUAUUCAGUUUUGGAUUCGAAUCAUAAAAGCUAAAUCCUAAUUCUAGCCCACUUGGGAAAGCCCAAUAUUAAAACCCAAAACUCAAACCCUCCCUUUACUCUAAUUCACGUAAAACAAAAAUAAAAAAAAAUAAACAAAGCCAAAACCCCAUUUGAACUUCACGUGAAAACGCAAAAGAGAAAAAAAAAAAAAAAAAGAAGCAAAACCUAUCUCUCAUUCAAACUCACGUAAACUAGCAAACCCUCAAACCUUGGUACUCUCUGCCCAGCCGCCAGCCACCAUACACCCGCCGGACCUCCACCGUCCUCGUCACAGCCGCCCCAGCCGCCGACCACCUACCGCCGCCGCGACCGCCAGCUGCACGCAGCAACCGAGUCGCGCCACCCUCUCCUUGCUGUCGCCGAGCAGUGCUGCCGCCUCCGGCCGCGCCUCACCGCCUGCCGCCGUCGUCCUCUCUCGUCGGCGGAGAAUUCUCCUUAGGCGACUUUUGAAUUAUUAAAGUGGUCUUGCAGUUUGUUUACACAAGUCUCUAAGGAUCAAUAAGCGUUGCCCAUCUACAGGUUUGAAGAUGAUGCAUCAUUGGGAUCGGGAUUAGAGAGCUUGUAGUUAUAUUUGUUUU